rnacentral:tRNA from 1 species
GGGCCCAUAGUAAAGUGGUAUUAUGCAUCCAUGGCAUGGAUGAGUCCGGGGUUCGACUCCCCGUGGGUCCACCA